GAUGAACGCUAGCGGCAGGCUUAACACAUGCAAGUCGAACGGCAGCACAGGUAGCAAUACUGGGUGGCGAGUGGCGCACGGGUGCGUAACGCGUAUGCAACCUACCUCUAUCUGGGAGAUAGCCUGAAGAAAUUCGGAUUAAUACCCCAUAAUAUAUGUCUUUCGCAUGUUAGACAUAUUAAAGCUUUGGCGGAUAGAGAUGGGCAUGCGUGACAUUAGCUAGUUGGUAAGGUAACGGCUUACCAAGGCUACGAUGUCUAGGGGUCGUGAGAGGAUUAUCCCCACACUGGUACUGAGACACGGACCAGACUCCUACGGGAGGCAGCAGUGAGGAAUAUUGGACAAUGGGCGAAAGCCUGAUCCAGCCAUGCCGCGUGCAGGAAGACGGCCCUAUGGGUUGUAAACUGCUUUUAUAUGGGAAUAAACCUCCGAACGUGUUCGGAGCUGAAGGUACCAUACGAAUAAGGAUCGGCUAACUCCGUG
rnacentral:rRNA from 1 species